CCCAAAGAACUGCUGGAGUGAGGGAGGGUGACUGGACCCACCUUCGUUUAUUCUAAUCCCUGCUGUUCCUUCUUUCUACAAAGGUAAUACCUAAUGUAAGUCGUAUGUAAGCAAGAUCGAAAGGGCCAAGUAGACACAGAGCCCAGCUGUCUAACGAGGGUGCCAAGACACCCAGGCUCUGCCUUUCUGGCUAGUCUCAUGGCAUACACAGUUUUAGUUUUGCUUUGUGUUACUUCAUUUUUUAUUGUAUAGUCUAAGCAGGCCAUGAGAUCUUUCUGCUUGAGACUCUGGCAUGCUAGGAUUGCAGGACUACAGCACUGCACACAGCAAAAUACAGUUUUAUAUUGAUGUCACUGGAGUCUGAAGACAGAGGCCCAGCUCCACGGCUUCCCAUGUACCAGGCGUAGGCGCUCAUCCCGAAGAAAGCAGCAAGAGGUGGUGGUGAAGAGGCAGGAAUGCAUUUGAACAAAACUGCCCUUUCGAGGAGGUGGAAAGUCUUUCAGCCCAUCUUCCAGGUGUGGUCCGAUGUCAUCUCAGUCCUGGGUCUGCAAGGUGGCCUGAAGAAGUCAUGACAAUGCAUGAAUGUCAUCUCAUGGGGUGAUCUGUCUGUAAGGCUCUGCUGUUCCUGGAAUCCAAGCUGACUUCAAGUUUAGGACAAUGUGGGUCUGGAACAGGACACUAUAAAAGGCAACACCUUUAGACAGAUGCUCCUUGAGUGCCCAACAUGCCUUCAUGCAGAGUUGAGCAGGAAUCCAACCCAAAGUUAAAGAAGAUACAAAAUGAAGAUGAUGAAGUCCAGCUUUUAUCCAGUUACCUUGUAGGUCCAGGUGAGGAGUCAGUGCUUUUAAGUAAACAUGGUAUUUUGUUUGGUUAUUUUGAUUUUUUUUUUUGAGGCAGCAUCUUGCUGUGUAUCCCUGGUCUAGCCUCAAACUCACUGUGUAGCAGGGUAGCCUCUACCUCCUGAGAGCUGGGAUUACAGGUGUGUGAUACUGUGGCACCAUACCAUACCUUACAGUCGUCCAGUUUGCUGCUCUUGACUGCGUGUCGAGUUGAUGCUGCUUCCUUCCCGAUGAACGUACAUCUGCUGCCACUGUCCCCUCUCCACGGUCUCGUUCUCUGUGGUUUCAGUUACCCGUGGUCAAUUGUGGCCCGGAAAUAGUAAGUGGAAAAUUCCAGAAACAAUUCAUAAUUUGUAAUGUUUUAUAAUUUAAAUUAAGGCCUGAAGGUCACCAAGUAGGUUAGGCUGGCUGGCCAACAAGCCCCAGGGAGCCACUGUGUCUGGCUUUUGGGGGUCCUGGGAGAAAACUCCAACCCUCAUACUUGUGCUGCAAACACUUUGCCAACAGUCCCCAACAUUUAUCAUUUCCUCAUGAGAAAAACUUUCAAAAUAUUUCCUCUGUCUUUCUGAAGUGCAAGUUCAUUAAUGUUAUCUGUAGCACCCUGUCGUGAGUUUUAAAUCCCAUGCCAUUCUGAGUAGUACAGUGAAGUGUGAUGCUGCCCAACCAUCCUGUCUCCAUCCUGCCCAGACUGUAAGACAUCGUCUCUCCAGCACAUCCACUCUAUACUUCACGUACGUGUGUAGCUCUCGGUACCAUCUAUGUUACAAGGCAUCUGUGGUGAGGUAGGGUCUUGGAAUGUAACCCUAGCAGGUACAAGAGAGCUGCUGUAUUUCACUGGAUGCAUGCACUGUCUUAUUCCAUGCAUCCUCUAGUGGCAAAUGAUUAACUUAAUUUUAAGCUACUUUUUGCUAGAAGUUGCUCAGGGACAUUAGUCACUUUUGUGAUUAUGAGCAGUGUUGUGUAUAUCCUGGGUAUGUCUCCUGGUAAAUGAAUCCAGGAGGUAGUGUGCUAGGCUAUAGAGAAUGUAUCCUCAUUCUGCAUAUUAAUGUCAAUGAUUAUCCGGAGUAUGUGCACGCACAUGUGAUCCCACCAGCAAUUAUCCUGACUAACAUGUUAGUUUCUUACCUUUAAUCUUUUACUUGUAGAAGCCUCUUCCGUAUGCUUUGUUAGCUUUCUCUACUGAGCACAUUUCCAGGGGCCUGGUUGCUUCACCCAAGGACGGACACAGCUUUGCCACGACUCCAUGCUCCCUCUCGUCUCUCUAGCCAGCUCCUCCCACAGUCACAGCUGUGGCUUCACCAGAUACCCUGCUGCAUUUUAUCUUGUGCUCCUCUCCAAUCUACAGAAUUGCCUCGGAGCCUUGCUCGGGUAUAUGCAACACACAGUGCUUGCCCUACCCAAAGACAGCGGAUUUCUGCUGAUUCUGUACUUUGACAUUUUAUUCGACCCAAAAAUAUGCUUCCUGCAUAGGUCAAAAUAAUACUGUAUACUGGAGUUUUUAUGACAGUUACAUUGUGGCAAUGCUAAUUGACACCAGGUCUCCAAGCAGCGGACUUGCAGGACUCGGCUUGACACCACCCAGGUUCUUUAAAGAGAGUGGAGUGGUGACUGUGUCGUGUGUCCUGCUGUGCUGGCCACAGGCGAACACUGACUAUGCCAAGCCUUCUGCUGUGUUGC